rnacentral:lncRNA from 1 species
GUUUGUUGGGGGAAUAAUCGGGAGACGCUGGUCUUGUUGAGGGUGUAACUAGAAGAUUCCAGUCUUGUCGGGGAUUAGCCUAGAGACCGGAGCUGGGCUCAGGUUUUGUCGGGAGUUGGGGGACAACUUGGAAACGAAUGCUGGGUAUCAGCCCGUUAGUUUACCUGAAUUCAAACUUAGGUCAGGUUCUCUAAAAUGGAGUCUAAACUUAGAAGCUUUCAUCAGCAAGUGACAAGAGCCCUGAACUCAUAGUUGGAACUCAAGGCUUCCAGAGGAAAGGCUGCCAAAGGUGAGGCCACAGCGUGAGUGGGCGUGAGACAGUAAAGGAGGGGAAGGAGCACUUGGCGGGUUCAGUGGCUCCCGGUGAUGAGGGUUUUGGGAACCAAGAAGAGGCAGACCAAGGGCUAAGGCUAAAGAGGUGAGAGUGGGAGCCAGAGAAGAGCAGGAGGCCCGUCCAUAAGCCCUUACUUCUGCUGUCCUGUGUACAGGCCAGGUGUCAUGUGACAAGGUGGUGG